AGAGUUUGAUCCUGGCUCAGAAUCAACGCUAGCGGCAGGCUUAACACAUGCAAGUCGAGGGGCAGCACGGGUAGCAAUACCUGGUGGCGACCGGCAAACGGGUGCGGAACACGUACAGAAUCUACCUUUAUCUGGGGAAUAGCCCGAAGAAAUUCGGAUUAAUACCCCAUAAUAUACUUAAGUGGCAUCACUUGAAUAUUAAAACUCCGGUGGAUAGAGAUGACUGUGCGUCCCAUUAGCUAGUUGGUAGGGUAAAGGCCUACCAAGGCGACGACGCGUAGCUGGUCUGAGAGGACGACCGGCCACAUUGGGACUGAGAUACGGCCCAGACUCCUACGGGAGGCAGCAGUGGGGAAUCUUGCGCAAUGGACGAAAGUCUGACGCAGCGACGCCGCGUGCGGGAGGAAGCCUUUCGGGGUGUAAACCGCUGUCACCGGGGAAGAACGUGCACAGGAGGAAAUGCCUGUGUAGUGACGGUACUCGGGGAGGAAGCACCGGCUAACUCUGUGCCAGCAGCCGCGGUAAUACGUAGGGGGCGAGCGUUGUCCGGAAUUAUUGGGCGUAAAGAGCGUGUAGGCGGUUCGGUAAGUCUGCUGUGAAAUCCUGGGGCUCAACCCUGGGCGUGCAGCGGAUACUGCCGGGCUAGAGGGUGGUAGAGGCGAGUGGAAUUCCGAGUGUAGCGGUGAAAUGCGCAGAUAUUCGGAGGAACACCAGUAGCGAAGGCGGCUCGCUGGGCCACACCUGACGCUGAGACGCGAAAGCGUGGGGAGCGAACAGGAUUAGAUACCCCCGUAGUCC
rnacentral:rRNA from 1 species